rnacentral:rRNA from 1 species
UUAAAACCCUAAGGACUUGGCGGUGUCCCAAACCCACCUAGAGGAGCCUGUUCUAUAAUCGAUAACCCACGCUACACCCAACCCCCCCUUGCCCCAAGCAGCCUAUAUACCGCCGUCGCCAGCUCACCUCCCCUGAAAGCCCAACAGUGAGCACAACCGCCUCACCCGCUAGAAAGACAGGUCAAGGUACAGCCCAUGGGGGGGAAAGAAAUGGGCUACAUUUUCUGACCCAGAAAAUCAACGAAAGAGGGCUUGAAAACAGCUCUCAGAAGGCGGAUUUAGCAGUAAGACAUAACCACCAUGCUUGUCUUAAACCGGCCCUGGGACACGUACAUACCGCCCGU